rnacentral:rRNA from 1 species
CUACGGGCGGCAGCAGUGGGGAAUAUUGCACAAUGGGCGCAAGCCUGAUGCAGCCAUGCCGCGUGUGUGCAGAAGGCCUUCGGGUUGUAAAGCACUUUCAGCGGGGAGGAAGGCGAUGAGGUUAAUAACCUCAUCGAUUGACGUUACCCGCAGAAGAAGCACCGGCUAACUCCGUGCCAGCAGCCGCGGUAAUACGGAGGGUGCAAGCGUUAAUCGGAAUUACUGGGCGUAAAGCGCACGCAGGCGGUCUGUCAAGUCGGAUGUGAAAUCCCCGGGCUCAACCUGGGAACUGCAUUCGAAACUGGCAGGCUAGAGUCUUGUAGAGGGGGGUAGAAUUCCAGGUGUAGCGGUGAAAUGCGUAGAGAUCUGGAGGAAUACCGGUGGCGAAGGCGGCCCCCUGGACAAAGACUGACGCUCAGGUGCGAAAGCGUGGGGAGCAAACAGGAUUAGAUACCCCAGUAGUC